rnacentral:lncRNA from 1 species
CGACCACACAGGUUUAUCUAGACCAUGUAAAGGACACGGGCUAGGGACACGGGCGUGUGCUUGGCCGUGUGAAAACCCUUGUAGGUUCGAAAUGGAAAAUAAAUUCAAUUAAUUCCACACGGGCGUGUCCCAAAGCACACGAGAGUGUGCAUUGCCUCUACAUGGGCGUGUGAUGUUUAACUUAGAAAUUUUUUCAAGAAAUUUCUCAGGUCCUCGGUUUAGUCUUGGACCUUUC